UACGUAGGGGGCAAGCGUUGUCCGGAUUCAUUGGGCGUAAAGAGCGUGUAGGCGGCCAGGUAGGUCGGUUGUGAAAACUGGAGGCUCAACCUUCAGAGGUCGACCGAAACCAUCUGGCUAGAGUCCGGGAGAGGAGAGUGGAAUUCCUGGUGUAGCGGUGAAAUGCGCAGAUAUCAGGAAGAACACCCGUGGCGAAACCGGCUCUCUGGAACGGUACUGACGCUGAGACGCGAAAGCGUGGGGAGCGAACAGG
rnacentral:rRNA from 1 species